rnacentral:rRNA from 1 species
AGAAUCAACGCUGGCGGCGUGCCUAACACAUGCAAGUCGCACGAGAAAGGGGCUUCGGCCCUGAGUAAAGUGGCGCACGGGUGAGUAACACGUGACUAACCUACCCUCGAGUGGGGAAUAACAUCGGGAAACCGAUGGCUAAUACCGCAUAACAUCGCAAGAUCAAAGCCGAAAGGCGCUUGAGGAGGGGUCGGCGGCUGAUUAGCUAGUUGGUAGGUAAUGGCCUACCAAGGCUUAGAUCGGUA